rnacentral:rRNA from 1 species
AGAGUUUGAUCCUGGCUCAGGAUGAACGCUGGCGGCGUGCCUAAUACAUGCAAGUCGAACGAGGAACUUUUGUAUUCGUACAGAGGUUUCCUAGUGGCGAACGGGUGAGUAACGCGUUGGUGACCUGCCCCGAAGAGAGGGAUAACAGUUCGAAAGAACCGCUAAUACCUCAUGUGAUCAUAAGGAUUAGAUGCCUUUUGAUUAAAUGGAUUUAUUCGCUUCGGGAGGGGCCUGCGUCCCAUCAGCUAGUUGGUAGGGUAAUGGCCUACCAAGGCGAUGACGGGUAGGGGACCUGAGAGGGUGACCCCCCACACUGACACUGAAACACGGGUCAGACACCUACGGGUGGCAGCAGUAGGGAAUAUUGGUAAUGGGCGAAAGCCUGAACCAGCAACGCCGCGUGCGCGAUGAAGGCCUUCGGGUUGUAAAGCGCUUUUUGAGGGGAUGAGGAAGGACAGUACCCUCAGAAUAAGCCUCGGCUAACUAUGUGCCAGCAGCCGCGGUACAACGUAGGAGGCAAGCGUUAUUCGGAUUUACUGGGCGUAAAGCGUGUGCAGGCGGCUCGAUAAGUUGGAUGUGAAAGCUCCUGGCUCAACUGGGAGAGGUCGUUCAAUACUGUCGGGCUAGAGGAUGAGAGAGGGAGGUGGAAUUCCAGGUGUAGUGGUGGAAUGCGUAGAUAUCUGGAGGAACACCAGUGGCGAAGGCGGCCUCCUGGCUCAUUUCUGACGCUAAGACGCGAAAGCUAGGGUAGCAAACGGGAUUAGAGACCCCGGUAGUCCUAGCUGUAAACGAUGUAGACUUGGCGUUGGUGGGGUAAAAUCCAUCAGUGCCGUAGCUAACGCGAUAAGUCUACCGCCUGGGGACUACGAUCGCAAGAUUAAAACUCAAAGGAAUUGACGGGUCCCCGCACAAGCAGCGGAGCGUGUGGUUUAAUUCGAUAUACGCGAAGAACCUUACCAGGGUUUGACAUAUAAGUGGUAGGGAUCCGAAAGGUGACCGACCCUUCGGGGAGCUUAUACAGGUGCUGCAUGGCUGUCGUCAGCUCGUGUCGUGAGAUGUUCGGUUAAGUCCGCUAACGAGCGCAACCCUCGUCGUGUGUUACAAGUGUCACGCGAGACCGCCGGUUUCAAGCCGGAGGAAGGUGAGGAUGACGUCAAGUCAGCAUGGCCUUUAUAUCCUGGGCUACACACACGCUACAAUGGCUGGUACAAUUGGUCGCGAAACCGCGAGGUGGAGCCAAUCCUUAAAGCCAGCCUCAGUUCAGAUUGUAGGCUGCAACUCGCCUGCAUGAAGAUGGAGUUGCUAGUAAACGCAGGUCAGCAACACUGCGUUGAAUACGUUCCCGGGAUUGUACACACCGCCCGUCACGUCAUGGAAGCUGGCAACACCUGAAGUCAGUAUCCUAACCCGCAAGGGAGGGAGCUGCCGAGGGUGGGGUUGGUAACUGGGACGAAGUCGAAACAAGGUA